AACGAACGCUGGCGGCAGGCCUAACACAUGCAAGUCGAGCGAGGACUUCGGUCCUAGCGGCGGACGGGUGAGUAACGCGUGGGAACGUGCCCUUUGGUACGGAAUAGCCCCGGGAAACUGGGAGUAAUACCGUAUGGUGUCUUCGGACUAAAGAUUUAUCGCCAAAGGAUCGGCCCGCGUUGGAUUAGGUAGUUGGUGGGGUAAUGGCCUACCAAGCCGACGAUCCAUAGCUGGUUUGAGAGGAUGAUCAGCCACACUGGGACUGAGACACGGCCCAGACUCCUACGGGAGGCAGCAGUGGGGAAUCUUAGACAAUGGGGGCAACCCUGAUCUAGCCAUGCCGCGUGAGUGAUGAAGGCCCUAGGGUUGUAAAGCUCUUUCAGCUGGGAAGAUAAUGACGGUACCAGCAGAAGAAGCCCGGCUAACUCCGUGCCAGCAGCCGCGGUAAUGUACAGUGU
rnacentral:rRNA from 1 species